rnacentral:rRNA from 1 species
UACGGGGGGAGCAAGCGUUGUUCGGAUUUACUGGGCGUAAAGGGCGCGUAGGCGGUCAGCACAAGUCAGUUGUGAAAUCUCCGAGCUUAACUCGGAACGGUCAACUGAUACUGUGCGACUAGAGUGCGGAAGGGGCAACUGGAAUUCUCGGUGUAGCGGUGAAAUGCGUAGAUAUCGAGAGGAACACCUGCGGCGAAGGCGGGUUGCUGGGCCGACACUGACGCUGAUGCGCGAAAGCGUGGGGAGCGAACAGG